rnacentral:rRNA from 1 species
UACGUAGGUCCCGAGCGUUGUCCGGAUUUAUUGGGCGUAAAGCGAGCGCAGGUGGUUUAUUAAGUCUGGUGUAAAAGGCAGUGGCUCAACCAUUGUAUGCAUUGGAAACUGGUAGACUUGAGCGCAGGAGAGGAGAGUGGAAUUCCAUGUGUAGCGGUGAAAUGCGUAGAUAUAUGGAGGAACCCCGGUGGCGAAAGCGGCUCUCUGGCCUGUAACUGACACUGAGGCUCGAAAGCGUGGGGAGCAAACAGG